AGGAUGAACGCUGGCGGCGUGCCUAACACAUGCAAGUCGAACGUCCUGUCUCGCAAGAGGCAGGGAGUGGCGGACGGGUGAGUACCACGUGGGUCAUCUACCGUGAGGUGAGGAAUACCGGCGAGAAAUCGCCGACAAGACCGCAUAGGCUCGAUGCAAGUCGAGCAAAGCUCUUUCGAGAGAGGGAGCGCCACACGAGGAGCCUGCGCCCGAUUAGCUAGCUGGUGGAGUAACGGUUCACCAGGGCGACGAUCGGUAGCUGGUCUGAGAGGACGAUCAGCCACACUGGGAUUGAGAACGGCCCAGACUCCUACGGGGGGCAGCAGUGAGGAAUUUUCGUCAAUGGGGCAACCCUGAACGAGCAACGCCGCGUGCAGGAAGAAGGUUUCGGAUCGUAAACUGCUUUUCUCGGGAAGAGAAUGGACGGUACCGAGGAAUCAGCCCGGCUAACUACGUGCCAGCAGCCG
rnacentral:rRNA from 1 species